rnacentral:rRNA from 1 species
GACGAACGCUGGCGGCGUGCUUAACACAUGCAAGUCGAACGGAAAGGCCCUGCGCUUGUUGGUUGCUCGAUUGGCGAACGGGUGAGUAACACGUGAGUAACCUGCCCUUGACUUUGGGAGAACUUCAGGAAACUGGGGCUAAUACCGCAUAGGAGCUCCUGCUGCAUAGUGGUGGUUGGAAAGUUUCGGCGGUUUGGGCUGGACUCGAGGCUUAUCAGCUUGUUUGUGGGGUAGUGGCUUACGAAGGCUUUGACGGGUAGCCGGCCUGAGAGGGGUACCGGGCACAAGGGGACUAAGGUACGGACCAGACGGCUAUGGGAGGCAGCAGUGGGGAAUCUGGCACAACGGGGGGACGCCUGAGGCAGAAACGCCGCGUGCGUGAUGCCGGCUUUCGGGGUGUAAACAGCUUUCGCAUGUGACGAAGCGUGAGUGACGGUAAUGGGUAAAGAAGCAACGGCUAACUACGUG